ACUUAGAUAGCUUAAAUAAAGCAUC
rnacentral:tRNA from 1 species